UACGUAGGGGGCAAGCGUUGUCCGGAUUUAUUGGGCGUAAAGAGCGUGUAGGCGGCCUGAAAGGUCAGCUGUGAAAACUCGAGGCUCAACCUCGAGAUGUCGGUUGAAACCAUCUGGCUAGAGUCCGGAAGAGGAGAGUGGAAUUCCCGGUGUAGCGGUGAAAUGCGCAGAUAUCGGGAAGAACACCCGUGGCGAAGGCGGCUCUCUGGGACGGUACUGACGCUGAGACGCGAGAGCGUGGGGAGCGAACAGG
rnacentral:rRNA from 1 species